rnacentral:rRNA from 1 species
CGCUAGCGACAGGCCUAACACAUGCAAGUCAGGGGCAGCACAAGGAGCAAUCUGAGGUGGCGACCGGCGCACGGGUGAGUAACACGUAUGCAACCUGCCUGUAAGCGGGGAAUAACCCGUUGAAAGACGGACUAAUACCGCAUAAUACUAAAUUACUGCAUGGUAAUUUAUUUAAACAUUUAUGGCUUACAGAUGGGCAUGCGCAUGAUUAGCUAGUUGGAGAGGUAACGGCUCCCCAAGGCAACGAUCAUUAGGGGUUCUGAGAGGAAGGUCCCCCACACUGGUACUGAGACACGGACCAGACUCCUACGGGAGGCAGCAGUGAGGAAUAUUGGUCAAUGGACGAGAGUCUGAACCAGCCAAGUCGCGUGCAGGAAGAAUGUUCCCUAUGGAUUGUAAACUGCUUUUGCAGGGGAAUAAAGUGCAUCACGUGUGAUGUUUUGUAUGUACUCUGCGAAUAAGGAUCGGCUAACUCCGUGCCAGCCGCAGC